AGUAAGUUCCAGGGGCUUGGUGUUCAGAGUGCUGGGGCAGUAAAUAUGCAGAGUGGGAAGCAGUCCUUGCCUAAAGAUUAUUUGGCCAGAGAAGAGACUGGAAAAAAAGACCAAUACUACCAAGCACAAGUUUGAAGCCCCUCCUGAUGAGCAAUGGACAAACCUGGCUUAACCCUGGCAUAACCAAGGUCAGAAACACAUCAGAGAGAUGCACUUGUGUUCACUUGUACCCACCACCAGUGUAACCAGGAAUACUGCCAGAAGGCUCCAAAAUUGCUGAAUUAAAUAAACUUCAAGAAUCUCUCUGAUUUCCCGAGAA